UACGUAGGUGGCGAGCGUUAUCCGGAUUUACUGGGUGUAAAGGGCGUGUAGGCGGCUCUGCAAGUCAGAUGUGAAAUUUCCGGGCUUAACCCGGACGGGUCAUCUGAAACUGCAGGACUUGAGUACUGGAGAGGAUAGCGGAAUUCCUAGUGUAGCGGUAAAAUGCGUAGAUAUUAGGAGGAACACCAAUGGCGAAGGCAGGUCUCUGGGCAGUUACUGACGCUGAGGAGCGAAAGCAUGGGUAGCGAACAGGAUUAGAUACCCCGGUA
rnacentral:rRNA from 1 species